rnacentral:misc_RNA from 1 species
UCUCCGUAGGUGAACCUGCGGAGGGAUCAUUACAGAGUUCAUGCCCUACCGGGUAGAUCUCCCACCCUAUGUUAUUAUUACUUUGUUGCUUUGGCGGGCCGUUAGGCUUCGGCCCGACUACCGGCCCCGGCUGGUAAGCGCCCGCCAGAGGACCCAAAACCCUGAAUAUUAGUGUCGUCUGAGUACUAUAUAAUAGUUAAAACUUUCAACAACGGAUCUCUCGGUUCUG